AACAGGAUUAGAUACCCUGGUAGUCCACGCCGUAAACGAUGAGUGCUAGGUGUUGGGGGUUUCCGCCCUCUGUGCCGAAGGUAACCCAAUAAGCACUCCGCCUGGGGAGUACGGCCGCAAGGCUGAAACUCAAAGGAAUUGACGGGGGCCCGCACAAGCGGUGGAGCAUGUGGUUUAAUUCGAAGCAACGCGAAGAACCUUACCAGGGCUUGACACCCCGCUGACCGGUGCAGAGAUGCACCUUCCCUUCGGGGCAGCGGUGACAGGUGGUGCAUGGUUGUCGUCAGCUCGUGUCGUGAGAUGUUGGGUUCAGUCCCGCAACGAGCGCAACCCUUGUCGUCAGUUGCCAGCACAUGAUGGUGGGCACUCUGGCGAGACAGCCGGUGAAAGCCGGAGGAAGGUGGGGAUGACGUCAAAUCAUCAUGCCCCUUAUGUCCUGGGCUACACACGUGCUACAAUGGCCGGUACAACGGGCAGCGAACCCGUGAGGGGGAGCCAAUCCCAAAAAACCGGUCUCAGUUCGGAUCGCAGGCUGCAACUCGCCUGCGUGAAGCUGGAAUCGCUAGUAAUCGCGGAUCAGCAUGCCGCGGUGAAUCCGUUCCCGGGCCUUGUACACACCGCCCGUCACACCACGAGAGUCUGCAACACCCGAAGUCGGUGAGGUAACCUUCGGGAACCAGCCGCCGAAGGUGGGGCAGAUGAUUGGGGUGAAGUCGUAACAAGGUAACC
rnacentral:rRNA from 1 species